UACGUAGGCAGCGAGCGUUGUUCGGAGUUACUGGGCGUAAAGAGUGCGUAGGCGGUUUUCUAAGUUUGGUGUGAAAUCUCCCGGCUUAACUGGGAGGGUGCGCCGAAAACUGGAAGGCUUGAGUAUGGGAGAGGUAAGCGGAAUUCCUGGUGUAGCGGUGAAAUGCGUAGAUAUCAGGAGGAACACCGGUGGCGAAGGCGGCAUCCUGGACCGGCAUUGACGCUGAGGCGCGAAAGCCAGGGGAGCAAACGGG
rnacentral:rRNA from 1 species